AGGGGCUGCGGCCUUGGUGGGGGAGGGGCUGGCCUUCAUCCUCCUCAUCCUCAUGGGGGCGGUGGCCUUCAUCCUCCUCUUCGUCACCGUGGCCUUCAUCCUCCUCGUGGUCGUCAUGGCGAUGGCGGUGGCCUUCAUCAUCCUCAUCACGGUGACGGCGCUGGCCUUCAUCGCUCCGGUGGCCUUCGUCACCCUCGUCACCCUCGUCGCCGUGGCGAUGGCCUUCCUCGCCCCGGUGGCCUUCACCAUCCUCAUCGUCAUGGCGACGGCGGUGGCCUUCGUCAUCCUCGCCCUGGCGGCCUUCCUCCCCCUCCUGAUGGUGAUGAUGGUGAGGAUGAUGAUGGUGGCCCAGGGGCUCUUCCUCCCCCUCCUCCUGCUGAUGAGGAUGAUGAUGGUGGCGGUCGCCGGCGGAGCCUUCAUCCCUCCGCUGCUGCUGCUGCUGCUGCUGAUGAUGAUGAUGGUGAUGGUGGUGAUGGUGAUGAAGGCUCUGCUCUUCCUCCCCGCCCCCCUCCUCGUGCUCUCGGGGGGGGCUGCGGCCUUCCUCCCCCGGCCGAGGAUGAGGAGGGUGAUGAAGGUCAGGCUGCUGCUCUUCCUCCCCCGGCCGAGGAUGAUGAGGGUGAUGAAGGUGAUGAAGGUCGGGCUGCUGCUCUUCCUCCCGAGGAUGAUGAGGGUGAUGAUGAUGAGGAUGAUGAUGAUGAAGGUCAGGCUGCGGCUCUUCCUCCCGAGGAUGAUGAGGAUGAGGAUGAGGAGGGUGAUGAAGGUCAGGCUGUGUCUCCUCCUCCCGAGGAUGAUGAGGGUGAUGAGGAUGAUGAUGGAGGUGAUGAAGGCUCUCCCGGGGGUCCCCCUGAGACCCCCCCGGGUCCCCCCGGAGCAGCAGCAGAGCCACGAGGAGCCAGGGCCGGAGCAUGAGUGACCCUGAGUGACCAGUGAGUGACCACUGAGUGACCACUCACCUGAGUGACCACUCACCGGAGUGACCACUCACCGGAGUGACCCUCAGUGACCACUGAGUGACCCUGAGUGACCAGUGAGUGACCACUGAGUGACCACUCACCGGAGUGACCACUCACCAGAGUGACCACUGAGUGACCACUGAGUGACCCUGAGUGACCAGUGAGUGACCACUGAGUGACCACUCACCUGAGUGACCACUGAGUGACCACUGAGUGACCCUGAGUGACCACUGAGUGACCACUCACCUGAGUGACCACUCACCGGAGUGACCACUGAGUGACCCUGAGUGACCAGUGAGUGACCACUCACCUGAGUGACCACUCACCGGAGUGACCACUGAGUGACCACUGAGUGACCAGUGAGUGACCACUCACCGGAGUGACCACUCACCUGAGUGACCACUGAGUGACCAGUGAGUGACCCUGAGUGACCACUCAGUGACCAGUGAGUGACCAGUGAGUGACCCUGAGUGACCAGUGAGUGACCACUCACCUGAGUGACCACUCAGUGACCACUGAGUGACCACUGAGUGACCCUGAGUGACCAGUGACCACUCACCUGAGUGACCACUGACCACCGAGUGCCCAGCGAGUGUCCACUCACCGGAGUGACCGCUCCGAGUGCCCACUGACCACUCACCGGAGUGACCACUGAGUGACCACCGAGUGCCCACUCACCUGAGUGACCACCGAGUGACCACUGAGUGACCACUGAGUGCCCACUCACCUGUGCCCACUCACCUGAGUGACCACCGAGUGCCCAGCGAGUGUCCACUCCCCGGAGUGACCGCUCCGAGUGACCACUGACCACUCACCGGAGUGACCACUGAGUGACCACCGAGUGACCACUGAGUGACCACUGAGUGACCACUGACCACUGAGUGCCCACUCACCUGAGUGACCACCGAGUGACCACUGAGUGACCACUGAGUGCCCACUCACCUGUGACCACCGAGUGCC
rnacentral:lncRNA from 1 species